rnacentral:rRNA from 1 species
AACAUCCUACGGGAGGCAGCAGUGGGGAAUAUUGCACAAUGGGGGAAACCCUGAUGCAGCGACGCCGCGUGAGUGAAGAAGUAUUUCGGUAUGUAAAGCUCUAUCAGCAGGGAAGAAGAAGGACGGUACCUGAGUAAGAAGCCCCGGCUAACUACGUGCCAGCAGCCGCGGUAAUACGUAGGGGGCAAGCGUUAUCCGGAAUUACUGGGUGUAAAGGGAGAGUAGGCGGCAAGGUAAGCGAUAUGUGAAAGCCUUAGGCUUAACCAAAGGAUGGCAUAACGAACUAUCUAGCUAGAGUACAGGAG